GGUUCGGUAGCUUGGUUGGUAUAGCGUUCGUCUAGCAUACCAGAGUUCUGGGUUCGAACCCCAGUCAAGCAC
rfam:Aedes aegypti strain Liverpool supercont1.168 genomic scaffold, whole genome shotgun sequence.